rnacentral:rRNA from 1 species
UUGACCUCAAAUCAGGUAGGAUUACCCGCUGAACUUAAGCAUAUCAAUAAGUGGAGGAAAAGAAACUAACAAGGAUUCCCCUAGUAACUGCGAGUGAAGAGGGAAAAGCUCAAAUUUAAAAUCUGGCAGCGGUUUGCUGUCCGAGU